rnacentral:misc_RNA from 1 species
GAUGAAGUACGUAGCGAAAUGCGAUAAGUAGUGUGAAUUGCAGAAUUCAGUGAAUCAUCGAAUCUUUGAACGCACAUUGCGCCCUUUGGUAUUCCUUAGGGCAUGCCUGUUCGAGCGUCAUUUAAACCUUCAAGCUAAGCUUGGUGUUGGGUGACUGUCCGCUUCACGGCGGACUCGCCUCAAAAUUAUUGGCGGCCGGUACAUUGGCUUCGAGCGCAGCAGAAACGCGAACUCGGGCCCGUCGUAUUGGCUCCCAGAAGCUAUCUUCACAAUUUUGACCUCGGAUCAGGUAGGGAUACCCGCUGAACUUAAGCAUAUCAAUAAGCGGAGGA